rnacentral:tRNA from 1 species
UGGGGUAUAGCCAAGCGGUAAGGCAAGGGGCUUUGACCCCCUGAUGCGUUGGUUCGAUCCCAACUACCCCAGCCA